AGUGGGUCAGUAUGAGAAUGUGAGAAGG
rnacentral:piRNA from 1 species